UCCCUGGGGAUCACAUCACAUCCCGGACAAGCGGGGCGGGAUUGCCAAGCCAAGGCGUCCUCUUCCCUGAAGUUCCCCAUGGAGCUCAUGCGGCCACAUGUUGCAUGGGUCGGGAGCCCUGAAGAAUCACAUCCCGUGACCACGAAAUGUCGGAACUCGGCCCAGAAAUGUUCUUGACAUGAGCAAAGAAGUCUAUGGAGUCAUUUUACCCAAAAGAAUUGGAAGAUCCGGCUUGGGGUGUACCUGUCCUGGACAUCAGCGGUGCAGCCCGUGGAAUCAUCAGAUAUAAGUUGAGUUGGCGUC